AACAAAAAGUACACACUAUUAAUCAUCACCUCAAACCUUGUGCCUUAAUCACUGCUUCUGCUGUUUGCCUGCGCCUGUGAUAGCAGCUGUCACAACAGGACAAUAUGCAUGAGUGGAUUCCCAUCAGCCCUCUUUGUACAUCCCUGCUGCUGAGAAGAGGAGAAGAACAACCAUCACCAUCCCGAACUUCAUUUAAGGAAGAUAUAGACAAAAGUUGCGUUCGCAAUUACCCAGUGUGAUACGGAAACUCCUAAAGUAAGUAUAAUGAUGCUUGUUGUGCUAAAACUGCUAAAAUGCGAUGUAAAAAUGUACCCAAACUAGUGUCGAACACGAGGGAGAACAACUCUUACAGCAUUUAAUUUAAUAACAGAUCCUCAUUUAGUCUUUUAUGAAAAUUCAUUUAGAUGUGCUGAGGCUGGGUUUCACUGCAGGCCUUUGAGAGAAUCACUGACGCCAGUGAGCUUCAGCUGUUGGGGAUUCAAUCACAGCUGCUUGAUAUGCACAUGUGUGUUCCCUCGCUUUUUUUUUAUUUUUUAUUGUCCUUCACGCUGAGUAGCUGCAGCACAAUGAGGCCAUCAUGGUAAAUGUUGAAAUGCAUUAAUGUGAUAUUAUCCACCCUCGUGACAGACGGUGAGCCACAGGGAAACUCUGGCCUGAUAUGAAAAUAUUGCCCCACGCGGAAUGUCUCCAAGUAAUUGAAUCAUGUCUUACAUUGUGUACUCUGCUUCUGUACUGUGCUGUGUGAAAAUUCGUUUAAUGGUUUGGAACAAUGUUAAUGCAUUUAGAGCAUUGGGUAUGAGAAGGCUGGUGACCCAUAGGAUGCUACUGUUAGAGGAGGUGAGAUUUGCUGGAAAUGUGAUGGUCCCAGGCCAGUACGAGUGGUUAAACAGCAAUUACUAAAUGUCAUGUGUUUGUGUACGUGCAUUACAGUAUGUGUGUAUUGUACAUGAAAAUAAAACGGAUCAGUUCAGUAA